rnacentral:rRNA from 1 species
CAUGGCGCCUGUUUAUCAAAAACAUAGUUUUUUGGAAAUAAGAAAGAAUUUGGUCUGCUCACUGCUGAGUAAAUAGCCGCAGUAUUUUGACUGUGCUAAGGUAGCAUAAUCAUUUGCUUUUUAAUUGAAGGCUGGUAUGAAUGAUUAAAUGUGAUGAAUUCUGUCUCUGUUUUUUUUUUUGAAAUUUAUUAUAUGGUAAGAAGGCCAUUAUUUUUCUGAGGGACGAUAAGACCCUAUUAAGCUUAAUUUUUGAAUUUUACUGGGGCGGUAGUUUAAGAUAGGGAUCUUAAUAUAAAAGAUAAAUAUAUAAUGACCCAAUAAUAUUGAGCAUUAAAUAGAGUUACUAUAGGGAUAACAGCUUAAUUUUUUUAAGGAGAUCGUAUCUUAAAAAGAGUUUGUGACCUCGAUGUUGAAUUAAAGUUUCUAUUUGGUGAAGUAGCUAAAUAAAAGGGCCUGUUCUACCUUUAAAACUUUACCUGAUCAGAUUUCAAACCGCCCAUGGG